GGGAGCUGGGGGCAAGGGCGGGAGGUAAUACGUGGGGAGGGAGGGUUGUUCGGAGUGACGGGGAGUAAAGGGUGUGUAGGCGGUUCUCUAAGUGUGGUGUGAAAUCUCCCGGCUCAACCGGGAGGGGGCGCCGAAAACUGGAGGGCUAGAGUGCGGGAAGGGAGAGUGGAAUUCCUGGUGUAGCGGUGAAAUGCGUAGAUAUCAGGAGGAACACCGGUGGUGUAGACGGCUCUCUGGACCGCGACUGACGCUGAGACACGAAAGCGUGGGUAGCAAACAGGAUUAGAUACCCCAGUAGUC
rnacentral:rRNA from 1 species